rnacentral:rRNA from 30 species
CGACCCCAGGUCAGGCGGGGCUACCCGCUGAGUUUAAGCAUAUCAAUAA